UACGUAGGGGGCAAGCGUUGUCCGGAAUCACUGGGCGUAAAGCGCGCGCAGGCGGUCAUCUACGUCUGGGAGUGAAAGCCCGGAGCUCAACUCCGGGAUUGCCUUGGAUACGGGAUGACUUGAGGAUCGGAGAGGCAAGGGGAAUUCCACGUGUAGCGGUGAAAUGCGUAGAGAUGUGGAGGAACACCUGUGGCGAAGGCGCCUUGCUGGCCGAUUUCUGACGCUGAGGCGCGAAAGCGUGGGGAGCAAACAGG
rnacentral:rRNA from 1 species